GAGGGCUCCUGGCACAGGGCAUCGCCGUUCAUGGCUGCCCCAUUCCACCUGGCGGCGGGCUCCACUCCCGGCGCAGCUCAGCGUGUCCCCGGGGCAGCGCGCAUCCACCCGCGCAGGUGCAUGGCUCAGAGCGCCGGAUCUGCACAGCCAAACGCGGCUCUCGGAGGGACCCGGCCCGGCACGGCCCUGCUCGGCCCGGCGCUCGGUGCGGCUCCUCCGG
rnacentral:lncRNA from 1 species